AAAUAAGAAGCAAUAUAAUGCAAUUAGUUUCGACCUAAUAAAAAGAUAUUUAAUUAUCCUUAUUUA
rnacentral:tRNA from 1 species